CCUACGGGGGGCAGCAGUAGGGAAUCUUCGGCAAUGGACGAAAGUCUGACCGAGCAACGCCGCGUGAGUGAAGAAGGUUUUCGGAUCGUAAAACUCUGUUGUUAGAGAAGAACGUUAAGUAGAGUGGAAAGUUACUUAAGUGACGGUAUCUAACCAGAAAGGGACGGCUAACUACGUGCCAGCAGCCGCGGUAAUACGUAGGUCCCGAGCGUUGUCCGGAUUUAUUGGGCGUAAAGCGAGCGCAGGUGGUUUCUUAAGUCUGAUGUAAAAGGCAGUGGCUCAACCAUUGUGUGCAUUGGAAACUGGGGAACUUGAGUGCAGGAGAGGGGAGUGGAAUUCCAUGUGUAGCGGUGAAAUGCGUAGAUAUAUGGAGGAACACCGGAGGCGAAAGCGGCUCUCUGGCCUGUAACUGACACUGAGGCUCGAAAGCGUGGGGAGC
rnacentral:rRNA from 1 species